rnacentral:rRNA from 1 species
UACGUAGGGGGCAAGCGUUGUCCGGAUUUAUUGGGCGUAAAGAGCGUGUAGGCGGCCAGGUAGGUCCGCUGUGAAAACUCGAGGCUCAACCUCGAGAUGUCGGCGGAAACCAUCUGGCUAGAGUCCGGAAGAGGAGAGUGGAAUUCCUGGUGUAGCGGUGAAGUGCGCAGAUAUCAGGAAGAACACCCGUGGCGAAGGCGGCUCUCUGGGACGGUACUGACGCUGAGACGCGAAAGCGUGGGGAGCGAACAGG